rnacentral:rRNA from 1 species
AGUGAACGCUGGCGGUAGGCCUAACACAUGCAAGUCGAACGGCAGCACAGGAGAGCUUGCCCUCUGGGUGGCGAGUGGCGGACGGGUGAGGAAUACAUCGGAAUCUACUCUGUCGUGGGGGAUAACGUAGGGAAACUUACGCUAAUACCGCAUACGACCUACGGGUGAAAGCAGGGGAUCUUCGGACCUUGCGCGAUUGAAUGAGCCGAUGUCGGAUUAGCUAGUUGGCGGGGUAAAGGCCCACCAAGGCGACGAUCCGUAGCUGGUCUGGGAGGAUGACCAGCCACACUGGAACUGAGACACGGUCCAGACUCCUACGGGAGGCAGCAGUGGGGAAUAUUGGACAAUGGGCGCAAGCCUGAUCCAGCCAUACCACGUGGGUGAAGAAGGCCUUCGGGUUGUAAAGCCCUUUUGUUGGGAAAGAAAUCCAGCUGGCUAAUACCCGGUUGGGAUGACGGUACCCAAAGAAUAAGCACCGGCUAACUUCGUGCCAGCCGCCGCCGUAA